GCAUCUUCAAGCCACGACCUCCAGUGUGCACUGGAGUAACUUCUAGUUGAGCCUGAGGAGUUUGUGUUCUUCCCAGCUAGAGGCCAUGGAAAAAAGAGAAGUUAAACUCCCAAGCGGAUGAUCCGCUCCUGGUUCCCAGUGGGAUCCUUCUUUGUCGACUUCAUCCGCUCAAAACCCCUCCUAAGGAUCCUUUUGGCGGGUCUCCCCAACGCUUCUCCAGCCUUCCUGGAAUGACUUACCUCGGAUCGUUCACCCGACUUCCUGUCCAUCUUCUCUCCACGCUACUACGGUCACCAUGUCAACCUCAGCUUCUGCAGAUCUUCUCAGUUUCCUGGGCCUCUCCUGUCACGUUGUAUUUCGGUACUGAUCCAGUACUGAUCCAGUACCAAGGAUGCUCCACUCCUGCCAGAUUUUCCUCUAAAAACCGAAUCCGUUGUCUCAGCUGAACCUUUCCACCCGCACUCCGAGCUCAUCAUGCAAUCAAGGAUCUCUCUCCUAGCUGGAGUUUGGCAGCAGACCUGGAAAGCCGUCACCAGGAGCGGAAACGGGUUCAGGACUGGAAUGGAAGCAGCUGAAACGUGCUGAAGCGGCAGCGUGGCU